CACGGCUGCACAACUUGAAACACAGCCGCGAUGUAGACGCGCCUGCUGCAUUUGUUGCGCUGCCGUGUUCUACAGUCGUGAAACGUGUUUUCUCUGUCGCGAUGGGGGCAUAUGAAAACUCUAUAAUCGCAAAGUGUGCCAUUGAUUGCUGGGGGACCCUGACCCUCUGCAACACAUUCUGAAAGCACAGCUGAAACAACUUUGCCUGCCACAAGCACUUUGGAGGGCUUGCUGGACCAUAUUUCAGCUCUCACCGUGCAUGGUUUUGUCUUGGCAGUCUUGACACCUUGUUGGAACAGCUUGGAGUUCAUGCAGUUUGUAACGUCUUUAUUAAAAACUAAGGGAUUAAAAAAACAUACCUUCCAAAAAUCUGCACAUGCACGCAGCACUCUGACUGGCCUUCAGCACAACAGGCCAAGCUCAAAUGUAACACUGCUGCCAAGUAGCAGACACAAGGGGCAAGCCUUCUGAACUGUUAAGAAUUCGCCCCUCCAAGAAUGCACUGCCACUUAUGACUGCGCUGCAAUAAGCUUCUUGAUGCACUGGCUACUGAGUGGUAGAAGCCAAAGUGCUUCAUGUCGUCUUGCUUGUCAUGCAUGUGGUGUUGGAAGCACAUGGAAUAAUGCCAAAACACAAAGUGAAAAUUUCCUGAAUAGCUUGAAAAAAAAGUUUUCUUUCAUAUACACAAAACUUGGAAUAAAUGCAGAAUCUUGCUUCUAUCCCUGAAGUAACCCCCCCUCCCCUGUUUGUCCCGCUUUGACGUUCGAGGAUUCUGGUCACAUAAUGCAUAGGUGCUAUGGCGGACACAGUUCCUGUAAUUGCAAAAUGGGUAAAUAGUCCCACGUACUGGCAAGUUCCGGAACAAUUGGUUAUCUAACUUGGCACAGACACUAAGCACGUUAUAGACUAGUGCUUGUAAAAUAAUAAUGGGAAUGCAAGUGCUUCCUCUUUCAUUGUGAAACUAGCCUUACACGGCAAAUUUUCAUUAUAUGAAGGCUAGAGCAAUGAAGUUGGCAUGUGCGUGCAGUGGUUUAGUCUCUCCCGAUUACACAAUCACACUCCCUGUGCACCAACAAUUGCACCAACGCUGCAAGUGAACAUCAUUCCACUCUACCAAAUGCAACUUAGUAUGUGGCUUAACAGUGUACCUUUUCAUAUUCUAAAUUACUAUGGAAGAGUGAAAACAGCCACACUUAUGCAAAAACUUUAGGUCUUUCUUUUUGCCCCUGCAGGUGAUUAUAGAAAAAAAUGGUGCUUGAGAGCAUGAAGAGUUGUUCCCGUACAACAUGGUUGGCUUUAGGCCUCUCUCCACACAGGAUGUAAUGCUUCUGCUCAAGACUCAGGUUAUUGACAAUAGAAGCAGGGACGUGAGAGGUAUAUUGGCCUUAGGUUUGUCUAAAGCGUUUGAAACAGUGGCUCACGACUGCAUUCUCAAAGAAAUCUCUGCGCUAAACCUAGGGGGUAGAUUCUUUACUUUUGUGGAAUCCUCCCUCAGGGGCAGGACGGCGGCUAUCAGAGUAGGACAAUCAAAAUCAGAACCAUUUGAGCUCGGACGUAGAGGAACCCCUCAGGGUGCAGUAAUUUCCCCCCUUCUAUUCAACAUUGCGAUGCACAGGCUUUCUAAGAGAUUAUCAGCUGUACCAAAUGUGGAACAUGCGCUCUACGCUCUGACGAUAUCACAAUUUGGUGCCCGGGAGGUUCGGAGGCGGCCGUUGAGCAGGCGCUCCAGGAAGCCCUAGAGGUUACUGAGUCCUUCCUUGACGGAACGGGACUUAAGCUCUCCCCGAAUAAAUCCGAACUUUUACUAUACAGGCCAUCGAGACAGGGGGUUCGAGGGAUAACGCCUCUAGACCAGAUUCCUAUUAAUGUUUAUAUGAGGAAUGGUCAGAUCCCCAGGGUCGACUCGAUCAGAAUCCUUGGGUUGCUGCUUGACUCCAGGGGCUGUAAUGCCAAGACCAUUGCUCACCUCACGUCCAAAACUGAAAGCAUUCUUAGACUGAUCAUGAGAGUAUCUAAUAAGAAAGGAGGGAUUGGUGAGGACAACCUGCUUAGAGCGCAUCACGCAUUCCUCAUGAGCCACGUCAAUUAUGUUGUUUCAGCCUUAGAUUGGACAAAAACGGAGAGGGACAAACUAGACACCCUGAUGCGGAAAAGCAUCAAAAAAGUGUUGGGCAUCCCGAUUACAGCAAGCACUGAGAAACUAGUGCAGCUGGGGGUGCACAAGACUAUCCUCAAGCUGAUUGAGGCACAAAGGUCUGCGCAGGUUGUGAUACUUUCGGGCCGGCCGACGUCUUCUGGAGGCAGCGGGUCUUCGACCUAGCUUCAGCCUGAGGGAGAUUGUACAACUUGAUGUUAAGGUCAGAGGUACCUACGUCGUUGAUCCAUUUCCUAGAAAUGUACAUCCGCGGCACAAUAAGGGAAGGCGAGUAGAGCGAGCUAAAGCGUUUUUAAGAACACUUCAGGCAUUGAAUCCUUUGUUGAUGUUGCCCAGUAUGGUUGUGCGGAUAAAUUCACAGUCUCUGCAGUUAACGACAGGGGUGAACUUCUCUCCACAGCUUCGGUAAGGACUAACAUGGUCGAUGUGGCCGAGCAGGUUGCCAUCGCAAUCGCGAUGCUUGAUCCCAAACGAUUGAUUAUUUACACGGACUCCGGCGUGGUGGUCAGGACCUUCGCCUCAGGCCUCGUAGCAAAAGCGGCAGCGCUUCUAAAAAAGAAAUCAGAUACAGACUCUAUCCGCCACAUUACUUGGUUCCCAGCCCACAUGGGAGACGUGUUGCCGGGUCGCCUGAACCCCAAUGAGAUUACUCACCGCCGUGCACGAGAACUCACGUGCCGCGACGGGGGUGGGACCUCUGCGAGUUCGGAGACUAUUGGCCAUAGCGACCCUCUACUUACGUUCCAUGAAAUUACGGCACGUGACAAAGGGGAGCGGCGACAUUUUCCACCUCCCCAUCCUAAAUGGAGUAGAGCACUGUAUCGUACUCUCAGGAUGCUUCAGACGGGUUCGUACCCAUCGAGAGGCUUCCUGAGUAGACUACACACAGAGAUAGAUCCUCAUUGUCUGGAUUGUGGGGAAGAAUUCUGUACUUUAGCCCAUAAGCUCUGGCAGUGCCCUGUGUUACACGACUUCAACAACAGCGAGGGCUGGGAGAAGGCCAUCACGAGCACUAAACAGGAAGACCAGUCCAAGGUUGUCCAGAGGGCCCAUGAGAGAGCAGAGUCAUGGCCUCCCAGCUCCAACAUGGGAUUAGCCAACAGCUAGCCAGGGGCCUCUCUGGGGCUCCAAUGGCUUGCUCCUCGGGACCUUAAUAAAGUUCUUUGUCUGUCUGAGGUAAAAAAAUGUUUGGCGCACAAAUGUUACUUGUUCUCUAGGAAGGUGUUCCGACUGUGCUUGCAUAGGCUGUACUUCUCGGGACAUUCAACAUCAUUCAUGGUGCACCUGAACUAUAACACACACGAAGUAUAUGGCAUAUCCAUACAAAGAAAUGGCUAUCACAUCACAGUAGCGUUUAUUUUUAUGCUUUCAGGAUAUACAUUAACGCAACACUAAUACAAGCUGGCCAGACCGAAGGCUGGAUAACUUGACAGCUGCACACAGCCCGUCCUGUUGCCAGUACAUCACAUUGGUCUGAGGACCUGCAAGAGUGACAUGCAGGUUGUAGUAUAGCCAGUACAGUAUACUGCUAGCGUGAGGCAUUUGAGAAUUCAACUUCAAGUUUCCAUAGACAUCAACAUUACUAUUAUAUCUAUCUAGGCAGCGAACUUGGAGACGCAGCCAGCGCUGUCCUAGCUGCCUUACAUGAAAGCCACAGUGACUUGGAGAUUACCACUUUCUUUAAUAUGUCCAAAGCCUUUCUUUUUUUGUCAUGAUACAACCACUGAUAGCCAAUUAUCAUCUGAGUCAGAGAAAUGAGCACUGGCAGAUGUCAAGAUGCCAUUCAGCCAGUUGAGUUUCUCUAGCAGGGAAUCAAUAGCCAAAUUUUCUGUGCAAAAUGUCAUUAUGCACCACUCCCAAGUAAUUCAUUUGCUUGCUCCAACAGUGCCUGCACAAUCCAAAAGUGGCUGGCUCUGAAUAUUUGUGGCUGUCGACCUCAAUGUGGCCGUACCUAGUUCCUAAUAAAAACCUGCUUCGCUGCUAUGUAUGGGCAUUGCCAUUAAAAGCUGGACUAACUAGCAGCCCAACAUGGUUAUAGUUGCUAGAAGCUGCUAUUGUGGAGACACUGCCCAACAUCUACAUGCACUAUGCAAUAUUGAAACCUGUGCUUGUCUAUCUUUCGCCGGUGACCCCUUUUCACUGGCUAACGAAUGUUAAACGUUAUCGCUCGGUGCAGGACACGCCUGCAUGUAUAGAAAGUUUCUCGAACGUUAUCGAUGCUUCUAUCCGUUGUCUGUUGUCACCGACGCUUAUGUAAUCUGAUUGUAUGAGCGACGCAACUUGUCUAGUACUUUCUGGAAGACACGCGGGCACCAGGGAUUACUCUGGAACCUUCAAUGACUCGUGUAUAAAAGCUGA